AUGCCGCCUCUUUGAUGAAUCAAAGAGGAUGCUGUUGUCUUGAUCAAGAAGUUUGGUGCUGGUGUCUUCGACGAUUCCAAACGUGUUGUAAAUUCAGGGUGAUCUUAAGAUGAACUUUUAUCGAUGUACUGAAGUGUGUCCUGAAGUCUCUUUCACUGGCCAUCCAUAUGGCGGCUUCAGUUUUCUUCCUUUUAAUGAAGUCACUAAAAAGAAUGCAGAUGACAAAGAUAUUUUGAAUGUUGAUGUCAUUGGGAGUGUAUUUUGGGGUGGAAAUCUGGACAUCUUCGGCUCAUCUAAAGGAGGGAAACAAACCAAGAGAUUCAACUUUGAGAUCAAAGAUUUGGAGGGUAGGGUGUUAAAAUGCACACUUUGGAAUGACUACGCUGUGCAAUUCAACAACUUUGUGAAAACAACACUUCUCCCGAGCAUGUUAUCACCAUCAUCCAACGUGGUCUAAUUAGGGAAUGGGAUAGUCACUCAAGAACCACAAAGUGCUGAAGUAUAACUGUCAAACUUGCUGAAUCCUCACAAGGUGGUUAGAGUUCAAAGGAUGCAUUCUCUGUUACCGGCUAUUCUGUUGCAGCCGAACUUGAGAAGGACACAGACACGAGUCCUCUACAGAAAAGGGCGAGCGUAACUCCAGGUGCUGAAUCUACUUCCAGAGUUUCAAAGAGGGUCCAAAAUGGUUAUCCCAACUGACGUUUAGUCCGUAUUUUGAAUUAUGUUGCUCUAAGCUGUCAUGAAACUAUUUUCAUUCUGAACUUUACAUGCUUUGCAUACCAACUCUGGUCUUUUGGUUGUAUUUUGGUUUAAAGUUUAUCCAUAUGUCAAAGCAUGUAGUAUGAACAAUGGUAUGGGGUAUCCCCAUUUCAAGUUGGUUUUUAUUUUAAA